rnacentral:rRNA from 1 species
UACGUAGGGACCAAGCGUUGUUCGGAUUUACUGGGCGUAAAGGGCGCGUAGGCGGCUUAACAAGUCACUUGUGAAAUCUCCCGGCUUAACCGGGAGGGUGCGGCGGAAACUGGAGUGCUUAAGGGUGGGAGAGGUAAGCGGAAUUCCUGGUGUAGCGGUGAAAUGCGUAGAUAUCAGGAGGAACACCUGUGGUGUAGACAGCUUACUGGACCACUUCUGACGCUGAGACACGAAAGCGUGGGUAGCAAACAGG